CCUACGGACGCAGCAGUGGGGAAUAUUGCACAAUGGGGGAAACCCUGAUGCAGCGACGCCGCGUGAGUGAAGAAGUAUUUCGGUAUGUAAAGCUCUAUCAGCAAGGAAGAAAAUGACGGUACCUGACUAAGAAGCCCCGGCUAACUACGUGCCAGCAGCCGCGGUAAUACGUAGGGGGCAAGCGUUAUCCGGAUUUACUGGGUGUAAAGGGAGCGUAGACGGCGCGGCAAGUCUGAAGUGAAAGGCAGGGGCUUAACCCCUGAACUGCUUUGGAAACUGCCAUGCUAGAGUGCUGGAGAGGUAAG
rnacentral:rRNA from 1 species